UCCAGCCUGCAACGAUCCUCCUGCCUCAGCCUCUCAACUGCUGGGAUUAUAGGGGUGCGUCACCACGCCCAGCCAAGAAUGAAAUCCUCUGAAGCCAGAACAAAAUAAACAUGGAAGGGAGGGGAGUGGUAAGCAAAUGCUGGAGGCACUAGUUACGUAGGGAGCGUGGACUGAUCCCAGGUGGCCUAGAAUGUGGGUCUUGAGGUGACACAGGGACCAGAAGCAAAACUUCAGACUCCUAAGUUAGAGUUGAAAUUCACUAAAGCCAAGAACUUCGAAGAAUCUUACCCACAGAGAAAGGGUGAAUUAGAAAAGUAAUUUUUAUCUGAAAAAGCAGAGAGACUUUGAAGCAGAAAUCCUGACCGAACUUCAGCCAUUUUGUUCAAUAAAGAUGCAGGCAUUUUGUUCUCUGCCACUGAGCUGAGCUAAAUCAUGAUUUGUCAUCGAAUUGAAACUUCUGUGAAUGUGCUAAAAACAACUUCCUGCUCACCACAAGAUACCCAUUGUACCAUAACCUUCAGCAAAAGCUUAUCUCGUUCUUGUACCUUCUGUUUGCCACCUUAUAAAUAAGACACGCUCUCUGUAAACAGCCUCAGACUUUGGAGAUAACUCUUCUGGGGUCUGCUAGCGUCAAUAAAAUUUUCUUUCUUCUGCUGAGCUCCUGGCUAUUGCUGAUUUAGUUUUUCCCACAACAACAUAAGCAUCUCACCUUGGUUUGGGUUGGAGGAAAGAGUGUUUUCUCCAGGAAUAUGUGGCGAUGGGGUCAUGUGCCUCCUAGGCAAGCGCUCUACUACUGAGCUAUGCCCCUAUUUCUAAUUUGCUGAGUCUGAAGAAGUUGGAAAACCCCUUUCCCCAAUGCUGUGGUGAAGUCACAAGCGAUCCUGGAAGCUCAUCCAUGGAUGAUGUGGGUGUCGGGCCUAAUCCGUCAGCAAGGAGGGGAGCGCUUGACAGUGCAGUUGGUGAAGUUACCGUCAAGCUGGCAGGAAGCCAGAAAGGAUAAGGACUCAUGAGGAUGCUCCCCUGAGAAAGAAUUAAAUCCGUGCGACAUCCUACCUAGUCCCAUUCGACACCUGUGCUCAUGCGGAGGGGACUGGCCGUGCGAGGCGCAGGGGAGAGCGGUGAGGCGGCCUGCGGAAGGCUCCGCUAUCAGCACGUUCACAGAGUGGGCGGCGGAGGGCAGACAGGAGGAUUUAUACAGCGUUUGUCUUUCCGACGCAGCGUUCUACAGUUCCGGAGUAGGAAUGUACUGAUUAGAAGUGUGGCUCCCGGGGCACUCGACUGAAAGAAGCCGAAAUAAUUUUAUAAGCACCGAGAGGCUUCUGCUGUUUUGCCAUAAAAAGUUUCCUCUAAUGAUCUGAAGUUAAAAUGCGGUGUAAGAGAAAAGCCAAGUGCCUGUCACAGAGCGCAGUCUGUGAUGUCGGCACAGCGCGGAAAGCGUGUCACGAUGCAUUUCUCAGAAUGUCCCCCAUCCUUACACGGCGCGUAACUACUGCUGAGCGCAGACAUCGCAGCCGGCACUGUGAAUGCUGUGCUGCAUUUAAUACCAAAUCUGCACUUCAGCUUGGAAAGCACUGCCGUCUUUACUGCAUGCAGUCUCCGUGACCGUUAGUGUUUCUCCGUCUGUGUUAGGGUUCUUUUGUUUCUCUUAGGAAGGGUCACUGGGGGCCGGGGAUUUAGCUCAGCGGCACAGUGCCCGCCUGGAAAGCGCGAGGUCGUGAGUUCGAUUCCCGGUACCGGAGAAAAACCCAAACAUAAGUGUUACUUUUCUCUGAGUGGCCCUUCUAUUUUCUAAAUUAGUUAUUCCCAAUACAUUCCUUUUUAUUAUCAACAGCAUUAUUAAAAUUAUAUUUUCUAACUCACA